UACGGGGGGGGCAAGCGUUGUUCGGAAUUACUGGGCGUAAAGGGCUCGUAGGCGGCCAACUAAGUCAGACGUGAAAUCCCCAGGCUCAACCUGGGAACUGCGUCUGAUACUGGAUGGCUUGAAUCCGGGAGAGGGAUGCAGAAUUCCAGGUGUAGCGGUGAAAUGCGUAGAUAUCUGGAGGAAUACCGGUGGCGAAGGCGGCAUCCUGGACCGGCAUUGAACGCUGAGGAGCGAAAGCCAGGGGAGCAAACGGG
rnacentral:rRNA from 1 species